UGCAUUUUUCAAAUGAACUGAAGUGUCUGA
rnacentral:piRNA from 1 species